rnacentral:rRNA from 1 species
AGCAGCCGCGGUAAUUCCAGCUCCAAUAGCGUAUAUUAAAGUUGUUGCAGUUAAAAAGCUCGUAGUUGAAUUUCGGGAUUCUACCGUCGGUCGGGCUACCAAGUCUGUACUGGCGUGUAGAAUUCCUACCUUCUGGGGAACCAUCAUGUUAUUAAUUUAGCGUGGUGGGAAACCAGGACCUUUACCUUGAAAAAAUUAGAGUGUUCAAAGCAGGCUUAUGUCUGAAUACAUUAGCAUGGAAUAAUAGAAUAGGACGGUGGUCCUGUUUUGUUGGUUUCUGAAUCACCGUAAUGAUUAAUAGGGAUAGUUGGGGGCAUUAGUAUUCAAUUGUCAGAGGUGAAAUUCUUGGAUUUAUUGAAGACUAACUUCUGCGAAAGCAUUUGCCAAGGAUGUUUUCAUUAAUCAAGAACGAAAGUUAGGGGAUCGAAGACGAUCAGAUACCGUCGUAGUCUUAACCAUAAACUAUGCCGACUAGGGAUCGGACGAUGUUAAAUUUUAUUGACUCGUUCGGCGCCUUACG